GCGCAGGCCGCGCUGGAGCGAGGCAGGAGCCGGGUCCCGGCGCUGCCGCCCCGAGGGGCGGGCAGAGGCUGGUGCCGAGCGGCGGAAAACAGGCCACGCCCAGUGCGGUGCGCGGGGGGCCGUCGUCACGCGCACGGAAGUUGCCUCAGUAAGGCAUUUGGUCAGCUUCUUAAGAACGGAAUUUGCAAGUGUCCAAUCAAGAAACACUUGACGGACAGUGGAACCUUGGAAGACUCCAAUCCACAUAAGAAGUCUACCUGAGGAUGUUCAAGAUAGCAUGUGAACAAUGGCUGCCACCUGUAAAGUUCUGAGUCAUGCAUGGACAUGUGACUUGCCCAUGUGACUCCCAAAACUUCAGCUUGUAGCUACGUUCUGCAUAGGAGAGAGAAAGGGGUCUCCACCCACAAGAGACAGUCUAUGUAAGCCCCUGGGAGACCCCUCCAUUCUGUCUUCAGCUGGUUCAAGAGAUAGCCUCUCCACCCCAAAGGAUACCUGAAAGAAGCUGGAACAAAGGAUAGUAACUACACAGGUGUGAGUGAUUGCUGGACCCAGACUAGAAGGAGGCUAGUCUGUAAAAGAGGUUUAUUGGAACAUCUCUGAGGGUGAGAUUUUAUCUGUAUUCAGCUUCUUACUGGAUUAGGCGUAGACGUGCGUGGUUUAUUUUAUUUUGCUUGGUAGUUCACUUUGUUCUGUCUGUUAUUACUUGGAACCACUUAAAUCCUACUUUUUGUAUUCAAUAAAAUCACUUUUUACUUAUUAAUUAA